GCGGGAGUAGUGCAAUUCUUAGAACACUUUCCUGCCCGGAAAGAGGUACAGGUGUAAGUCCUGUCUUCCGCUCCA
rnacentral:tRNA from 1 species